CGCGGUCGAUUGCGUGUCAUGUUGACAAACUCUAAAGACGGAGCUGGCAACAUGUCCGCCACUGCUGCUGCUCACCAAAACAAUAACGAGGAGCCUAGCCUAAACGGGUCAUGGGUGGAGCUGGAGAUGAAUGGAAACAACAGGAACCAGGCCCUGCUGCCAAACUCCACCACACCCUCUCCUGCCCCGGGGAACGGGAAUGAGGGGGAGAGUCAGGCCCCUCAGGCCCUGGAGGUGGUGUCAGAGGAGGUGGAGGAGAGUCUGACAGCGGCGCUGGAGCAUGUGCCCUCAUCCUCCUCUAUCCACAAUGGAGACAUGGAGAAGAUCCUGCUGGACGCCCAGCACGAGUCCAGCCAAAGCAGCUCCUCCUGCGACAGUCCUCACAGACCUCCCAGUCCAGAUCAGGAUGACGGCCAAAUCACCUUUGAUGUGGAGAUGUCCAGUCGGAGAGGGAGCCAGUUAGAGGAGGAAGGUCCAGAGAAAAACAAAGAGCAUAUCAUGAUGAACAAAGUUGCAGAUUGGUCCAGUCGGCCUGAAAACGUUCCACCCAAGGAGUUCCAUUUCCGUCACCCCAGACGCUCAGUAUCCCUAAGCAUGAGAAAUAGUGGAGCCAUGAAGAAAGGGGGUAUCUUCUCUGCUGACUUCCUCAAAGUCUUCAUCCCUUCCUUACUGCUAUCUCACAUUCUUGCCCUUGGCAUUGGGUGAGUGACUGUUCCACCUUACACAACUAGCAAAUCAAAUGGAUAAGUAGACAUACCUUUGCAAAGCAACAGCUGCUCUCUAUAUCCCCUCACGAUCGUGCAUUCUUCUGCCUCUUCUGUAGCAGGCAUAAGAGACUGGACAAGGGUCUACAUUGGGAAGAGACUCCCCACGCCUUCCACCAGCUCUUUCUAAACCCAAAGUGAAGCAGUACCUGGAAGUCGCAUCAAAAUUAUCCUGUUGACUAGUUGUUACAAUGUCUUCAUGUGCUUAAAUGUCCUCUUUUCCUCUGCAUCCAUUGUAUGCCUAGCUAUCUCCUUUCAACUGUUUUUUCCCCCUUUUUAGUUAUUUGUACCACUAUCUGACAAUGAUUUACCCAAGUGUUUUGGUGUAGCGUGCUUUUGGAGGGUUCAUAAUUCAUAAAUGACUGGGAACCUUUUACCUUUUGACACAGAUUGGCUUUGAACAGUAAUGACCACUAGCAGCACGUAAUAGUUAACAGCACCUACCUGAAUCUGAUUGUUGUACUUCUGGACAAAAUUAUUCCUCAAAAGCUGUUUAUACUGUACUGCACAAACACUGUGACUGGUAUUGAAUGGCACAGGGCCUGAGGUUUGGGAAUUUCUCUUAGAUUUCUACACAGAUUACUUGGCUUAGACCUAGAGAUUGUGCUUUGAGAAAUCAAGAAUUCCUCUACUGCUCCCUACUCCAAGUCAGUAAAUUUCAUGGUGACUUUUACCUGAACCAAAAUAAGCUACAUAUCUGCAGUACAUCUUUCAAUUGGCAUUGAGAAUUGCAGUAACUGUGAAUCAAGUGGUAUUGUUGUUCAGAUUUGUUAUUUUAUUACAUGGUUUGGAAUAAUAUUCAGCCCAGACUUAUCAAUUCAGGAGAAGUUUGCUUGUAAUUCCAGCCUAUUCUAGUUAUACCUAAUUUGUGUCAUUUAGUAGCCCCAAAUAAUUCUCUGAAGGUGGUCUCUUGGUGAAAGGGUGUGAAUAGUGAUGCUAGUAGCUACUGCAGAUUCCCAUUGAUUAACAGGAAAACAUCCCAGUAGAUAGAUGCAGAAAGAAUAGUACAUCUAAAUGCAGUACAGGGUAAAGUAUGGGGUAAGUGAAAGUUUGAAUGAAGACUUUAUGUACAGUAGUUGAUACCAAUAUACACAACCUGCCUGUUGUUCAACAACUCAUGUGUCAAUGCCACACAUUCUUUUGUUUUUCAUAUCUAAUUUAUUUUCUCCAAGCUGAUUCUAUAAACCUUUUGAAUGUAAGCUUUCCUGUGUGGUAACAUGCCCUCAGUGUAUAGGUCCAGCCACCAUACAAAGUAGGAUGUAUUGGUGGAAUGAUGUUAUAACUGGCCACAAAUAAUUCCGUUUUGUUUCCUUUUGGUACACAAAAUGACUACUGCAAAGUGCCAAAUAUAGAUUUAUUUUAAUCUCAGCGCUUUCAUUACAAAGGUAACAUGCACAGUGAUUUCUCAACUAUUGGACCAGUUUAACUAACACAAACAGUUUCAUGCACUCAUAUAUCUCCAGUCCUGAUAAGUCACCUACCUGGUUUUGACAUGUCCUCCGGUGAACAUUUUGUGUAUGCAUGAAAUAUGUUUCCAUUCCCCAUAGGCAUACAUUUCCAUAAAGCAGACCAUAUGUAAGUAAUGAUUUUUGGAUAAAUCUUUAACAAUGAUCUAUUUGGUACUGAAAUAAUUUUAUGAAAUCGGAUAAAGGACCCUUUUUUUUCUUUUUUUUGCAAUAGUAAAAGCUUCUUUUUUUUCAUACACUAAGUAAUUAUUCUCACAUAGCGUGCGAUAGGAACUCCUGAGAAAGUAUCUUUACAGAACCAGCACUCCAACCCUGCUUGGUUAUUUAGGGUUUUGUUUUUUAACUUUGGGGGGGGAAGGGUGAGUGGACAAUGGGGAUAGAUGUGAUGGUUGUAGUAGGGUUCUUUUUUUGAGUGGGAUUGUUUUUUGUGCCUCUGUUCUUGGUUUGUGCCAACUCAAACUAACUCCCAUUGCAUGCAUGCCAUUAGCUUGUAAUUGGCAUUGAUUAACUUAUCAUUCAUGAGAUGCCAAAGGCUGUCAUAGCUUUCAUUUAAUAUUGUCAAGUCCAUCCUGUAUCUAACGCAGAAGUAUGUGCAUUAUCAUUGGUUUCAUUUUUUUCUUUGAUAAUCCAAAAUACAAACUGAAAGAUGCUUGGUCUUUUCCUUGAACAUGUUUUGUUUGUGAUAUUGAUUCUAGUAGCAAGAACCUUCAGCCUUGUUUGAUAGUUUUUCCAAUUUGAUGAAAAUCUGACAUUAAAAUGAGAAAUUAACCGCAA